rnacentral:rRNA from 1 species
UGAGUAACACGUAUGCAAUCCACCUGUAACAGGGGAUAACCCGGAGAAAUCCGGACUAAUGCCCCAUAAUAUGGGCGCUCCGCAUGGAGAGCCCAUUAAAGAGAGCAAUUUUGGUUACAGACGAGCAUGCGCUCCAUUAGCCAGUUGGCGGGGUAACGGCCCACCAAAGCGACGAUGGAUAGGGGUUCUGAGAGGAAGGUCCCCCACAUUGGAACUGAGACACGGUCCAA